GUCAAUGAGCGGUGGUAGCCUACCUGGCUGACCCUACAGUCUUGUCAAUAUGUAGGCACCGGAGAAGGUACAUCAGGAAGCGAUGCCUUAGCAGCAGUUCUAGGUGUAGUUGUCUGGCAGUCGGAUGUAGUCUUGCCACCGUCUUGCUGAAUCCCUCUCUUCGUAUUCCCCAGCCCCCACAGACAUCCCAGGCCAUAGUCGGUGUGAGGAGAGCAGAGCUGAGAGAGGAAUGACUUGCUCAUUGAAGUAAAGGCAACAUUUUCCUCUGCCAGCUUCAACCACUGUAGUGGAGCAAAGCCAUAACCAUGAUAGAUUGUCCCCAUGUGAGCAUGUGUGGGUUUGCACAGAUCUGGACAGGAAAACCUAACAUUUCAAGAAGACCUACAGCUGCAGCAUUUCAUCACAUUUUUAUUACAGGUGCAUAUUUAAAUUACUAGCCACUGUUAAAGAAACGAACCUGAACGUGAUUAAAGCUACUCUUCACACACCUCCCUGCAUGAUACUGUGACCUCUCCCAUAAUGCACUUUACAAUAUUUCAAAAUCCUUUGUGAACAGGGUCCUGCAUGACAGAAAAGGUAUUUUCUGCUUACAAUAAGGAAUCACUUGCAAGUGUGGGUAUCUGC